rnacentral:rRNA from 1 species
GGAAUAUUGGACAAUGGGGGAAACCCUGAUCCAGCGACGCCGCGUGAGUGAAGAAGUAUUUCGGUAUGUAAAGCUCUAUCAGCAGGGAAGAUGAUGACGGUACCUGACUAAGAAGCACCGGCUAAAUACGUGCCAGCAGCCGCGGUAAUACGUAUGGUGCAAGCGUUAUCCGGAUUUACUGGGUGUAAAGGGAGCGUAGGCGGCUAUGCAAGUCAGAUGUGAAAGCCCGGGGCUUAACCCCGGGACUGCAUUUGAAACUGCGUAGCUUGAGUGCAGGAGAGGCAGGCGGAAUUCCUAGUGUAGCGGUGAAAUGCGUAGAUAUUAGGAAGAACACCGGUGGCGAAGGCGGCCUGCUGGACUGAGACUGACGCUGAGGCUCGAAAGCGUGGGGAGCAAACA